rnacentral:rRNA from 1 species
GACGAACGCUGGCGGCGUGCCUAAUACAUGCAAGUAGAACGCUGAAGGAGGAGCUUGCUCUUCUGGAUGAGUUGCGAACGGGUGAGUAACGCGUAGGUAACCUGCCUGGUAGCGGGGGAUAACUAUUGGAAACGAUAGCUAAUACCGCAUAAGAGUAGAUGUUGCAUGACAUUUGCUUAAAAGGUGCAAUUGCAUUACUACCAGACGGACCUGCGUUGUAUUAGCUAGUUGGUGGGGUAACGGAUCACCAAGGCGACGAUUCAUAGCCGACCUGAGAGGGGGAUCGGCCAAACUGGGACUGAGACACGGCCCAGAGUCCUACGGGAGGCAGCAGUAGGGAAUCUUCGGCAAUGGACGGAAUUCUGACCGAGCAACGCCGCGGGAGUGAAGAAGGUUUUCGGAUCGUAAAGCUCUGUUGUAAGAGAAGAACGAGUGUGAGAGUGGAAAGUUCACACUGUGACGGUAUCUUACCAGAAAGGGACGGCUAACUACGUG